rnacentral:rRNA from 1 species
UACGGGGGGGGCAAGCGUUGUUCGGAAUUACUGGGCGUAAAGAGCUCGUAGGCGGUCUGUCGCGUCGGCUGUGAAAACUCGGGGCUCAACCCCGAGCCUGCAGUCGAUACGGGCAGACUAGAGUGCGGUAGGGGAGACUGGAAUUCCUGGUGUAGCGGUGAAAUGCGCAGAUAUCAGGAGGAACACCGGUGGCGAAGGCGGGUCUCUGGGCCGAUACUGACGCUGAGGAGCGAAAGCGUGGGGAGCGAACAGG